GAAGGGGAAGCUGAAAACCUUUAAUUAGAGUAAGCA
rnacentral:ncRNA from 1 species